rnacentral:rRNA from 1 species
UACAGAGGUCUCAAGCGUUGUUCGGAUUCAUUGGGCGUAAAGGGUGCGUAGGCGGCUCGGUAAGUCAGGUGUGAAAACUCUAGGCUCAACCUAGAGACGCCACCUGAUACUGCUGUGGCUAGAGUCCGGUAGGGGAGCAUGGAAUUCCUGGUGUAGCGGUGAAAUGCGCAGAUAUCAGGAGGAACACCGAUGGCGAAGGCAGCUCGCUGGGACGGUACUGACGCUGAGGCGCGAAAGCGUGGGGAGCAAACAGG